UACGGAGGGGGCAAGCGUUAUUCGGAAUUAUUGGGCGUAAAGGGCGCGUAGGCGGCUUUGCAAGACAGAUGUGAAAUCCCCGGGCUCAACCUGGGAACUGCAUUUGUGACUGCAAGGCUAGAGUACGGUAGAGGGGGAUGGAAUUCCGCGUGUAGCAGUGAAAUGCGUAGAUAUGCGGAGGAACACCGAUGGCGAAGGCAAUCCCCUGGACCUGUACUGACGCUCAUGCACGAAAGCGUGGGGAGCAAACAGG
rnacentral:rRNA from 1 species